rnacentral:rRNA from 1 species
GACGAACGCUGGCGGCGUGCCUAAUACAUGCAAGUAGAACGCUGAAGAGAGGAGCUUGCUCUUCUUGGAUGAGUUGCGAACGGGUGAGUAACGCGUAGGUAACCUGCCUUGUAGCGGGGGAUAACUAUUGGAAACGAUAGCUAAUACCGCAUAACAAUGGAUGACACAUGUCAUUUAUUUGAAAGGGGCAAUUGCUCCACUACAAGAUGGACCUGCGUUGUAUUAGCUAGUAGGUGAGGUAAUGGCUCACCAAGGCGAUGAUACAUAGCCGACCUGAGAGGGUGAUCGGCCACAUUGGGACUGAGACACGGCCCAAACUCCUACGGGAGGCAGCAGUAGGGAAUCUUCGGCAAUGGGGGCAACCCUGACCGAGCAACGCCGCGUGAGUGAAGAAGGUUUUCGGAUCGUAAAGCUCUGUUGUAAGUCAAGAACGGGUGUGAGAGUGGAAAGUUCACACUGUGACGGUAGCUUACCAGAAAGGGACGGCUAACUACGUGCCAGCAGCCGCGGUAAUACGUAGGUCCCGAGCGUUGUCCGGAUUUAUUGGGCGUAAAGCGAGCGCAGGUGGUUUAUUAAGUCUGGUGUAAAAGGCAGUGGCUCAACCAUUGUAUGCAUUGGAAACUGGUAGACUUGAGUGCAGGAGAGGAGAGUGGAAUUC